CCUACGGGUGGCUGCAGUGGGGAAUAUUGGACAAUGGGGGUAACCCUGAUCCAGCCAUGCCGCGUGUGUGAAGAAGGCCCUCGGGUUGUAAAGCACUUUCAGUGAGGAAGAACGCCUGGUGGUUAAUACCCAUCAGGAAAGACAUCACUCACAGAAGAAGCACCGGCUAACUCCGUGCCAGCAGCCGCGGUAAUACGGAGGGUGCGAGCGUUAAUCGGAAUUACUGGGCGUAAAGCGCGCGUAGGUGGCUUGAUAAGCCGGUUGUGAAAGCCCCGGGCUCAACCUGGGAACGGCAUCCGGAACUGUCAAGCUAGAGUGCAGGAGAGGAAGGUAGAAUUCCCGGUGUAGCGGUGAAAUGCGUAGAGAUCGGGAGGAAUACCAGUGGCGAAGGCGGCCUUCUGGACUGACACUGACACUGAGGUGCGAAAGCGUGGGUAGCAAACAGGAUUAGAUACCCUGGUAGUC
rnacentral:rRNA from 1 species